CAGAGAGAUUAUAAAAAUUGCCCAGGUGCCAGGUAGAGCCAGAAGCAGGAGUCAAACCCAGUUCUGAGCUCAUUGUUGUAGCUCAUCAUCUCUAAACUCACUGUUUUUGACAGAGGAGUGUCGUUCUCUUUGCAGAGUAACCCAGUGAAGACAGCCGAAGUGGAGUGUGGGGACUUUUACAACAGUGGGGACAGAGCAACUGUUGAUGCAGAGGGCUACUUCUGGUUCCUGGGGAGGGCCGACGAUGUCAUCAAUGCCUCCGGGUACCGCAUUGGGCCGGCAGAAGUGGAGAACGCCCUGGCAGAGCACCCAGCGGUGGCUGAGUCCGCUGUGGUGAGCAGCCCGGACCCGAUUCGAGGGGAGGUAGUGAAGGCUUUCAUUGUCCUGACCCCAAACUUCCUGUCCCAUGAUCGAGACCAGCUCACCAAGGAGCUGCAGCAGCAUGUGAAGUCAGUGACAGCCCCGUACAAGUACCCAAGGAAGGUGGAGUUUGUCUCAGAGCUGCCCAAAACCAUCACUGGCAAGAUAAAAAGAAGUGAACUCCGGAAGAAGGAGUUUGGUCAGAUGUAAUUGGCAGUAAACUCAGAAACCACUGUGUGAUGUUGGCCAAAUGCCUGGCGGCCUCAGGUUCCUCACGAUGGUGAGGGUGAGGAGAGGAACGCUGAGACAGUUGACUUGAAAGAGAGCCAGCAGUGUCAACAUUCCAGCAUUUUUGUUCGUUUAAAUUAAUAUCAAUCACUAUCCUUCCUCCAAGUUCCCUGUUCCUUUCAGAUUGCCCAGCUGAGCACUCAGAAUGGGGCUGAAGCAAAUUAAAUACUGACUCAGCAUCCA